CAGACAUUGACCUGUGUCUUUGUUCCUCUCUUUAGGAAACAAACACAUUACUGCAUGCUGUAGUUUAGUUAACUGAGUAACUGACUGUCGCUGCAUGAUUUCUGUUUGUAUUGUUUACGUCCCAGAACAGAGUUUUUGACGCUGCAUUUAUAUAAUGAUUUCUAAGCAUACAAUCGAUAUAGGAUCAUUAAGUUUGGCCUUUCAUAAUUGGUGAGAACACUGCAUAUAUGAUACAAUAUAUCAGAUGAGCCAUGUAGCACGGGAUACUUAUAUUAACCGUUCUCGUUUCUCUUCCCUUGCAAAUUGUAAGUGUGACAAACUUCCUUCUCCGUUAACAUUUUGAAGUGUGACAGCUCAGUUUAGGUUUAAAUUAGAAUGAUCCUUUUUUAUAUAUAGAUGUGAAUCAUUCUACACAUUUUGUCGAUAGUAGUAUAAUAGUCGUGAGGUUCAUUCCGUAGAGCAUAUAUGAGGAAACCCUCAUUCAUUUUUUUAUAGCUCAAACCUACAAUGUUGACAACUUUGCAGAUUCUUACUAUACAAACUAAAGGUCCGCAAAGCUUUAUGUGUGGUCCGUGUCUAUCUGGUUGAGACAGUUGAACUCUGCAUCAAACUUGUAAUAUGUACCGUCUCUGGUGAAGGAUAAUUUACACACCUCUAGUGGUAGAAGAUGUCGAGGUUAUUGCUGCGCUGGACAUUGCAAAAUGCCUCCAUGAUGCAAUAUCAGGGAUGGAUAAGGCUGCAGAACAAGGAAAUGCCGUCAGGCAGGUAGAGCUCUCGGAUUGUUUGAUCAUAUGGGGAGAAGCAAAGCUAAGCCUAACAGUGUUACCCUCAUCUGGGUGUUGACUGCAUAUUGCCAUGGUGACUUGGUUGAUGGAGCGCGAGAAGUCAAUUGCGAGUGCUAGUUAGCCUAGUAUGGUUGGUUCUUUUCAUUGUCUUAGCUCUGAUGGAUUGGAAUAAUUUUAACUAGUUAGCGAUGCAAGUUAAUCCAUCAACAACCAUUACUGACUUGCAAGUUUACCAUCGUAAGAUACAUGUAUGGAAAUAUUGAUGUAAAUAUCAGCGGAGCACUACAAGUUCAAGGACGUAGUGUUGUCUACCAAAAGUUAAAAAUUCAGACUUCCCUUGAUUCCUUGUACUAUGAACAUAAAAUCACUUUGUACUUUUGAUGAAAUUACAGUAAUAGCUCAUUUACUGUAUGUAAUGCUACUUUGGUCUC